UACGUAGGGUGCGAGCGUUAAUCGGAAUUACUGGGCGUAAAGCGUGCGCAGGCGGUUUUGUAAGCCGGAUGUGAAAUCCCCGGGCUUAACCUGGGAAUGGCAUUCGGGACUGCAAGGCUGGAGUGCGGCAGAGGAGACUGGAAUUCCUGGUGUAGCAGUGAAAUGCGUAGAUAUCGGGAGGAACACCAGUGGCGAAGGCGACUUCCCGGCCUGUUCUUGACGCUGAGGCGCGAAAGCGUGGGGAGCAAACAGG
rnacentral:rRNA from 1 species